GUUCCCGGGCCUUGUACACACCGGCCCGUCACACCAUGGGAGUGGGUUGCAAAAGAAGUAGGUAGCUUAACCUUCGGGAGGGCGCUUACCACUUUGUGAUUCAUGACUGGGGUGAAGUCGUAACAAGGUAACCGUAGGGGAACCUGCGGUUGGAUCACCUCCUUACCUUAAAGAAGC
rnacentral:rRNA from 1 species